AGACGCUAAACCAAAGUUGAAAUGCAGUUGCUUCUCUACGUCAUGAUCGGGCUCACUUUGACGGGCCUUGUAUUUGGCUGCAGCUGGGAACCUGACGAAGGAUGUUACGACGUUGGGUGUAAGAGUGGAACUUCUGCCUCCCCUACCACAACGUGCAGUGACGGAUGCGUGUGUACCAAGAAAUGGUGUGGUUUUAGUGGUGGGAGCUAUUGCAAGAAUAGAGCCCAAGGCUGAUGAGCAUCGAACCGACUGGCCAUGCAAUAAAUGCACACCACUUGUC